UACGUAGGGUGCGAGCGUUGUCCGGAAUUAUUGGGCGUAAAGAGCUCGUAGGCGGUCUGUCGCGUCGAUCGUGAAAACUUGGGGCUUAACCCUGAGCUUGCGGUCGAUACGGGCAUGACUGGAGUUCGGCAGGGGAGACUGGAAUUCCUGGUGUAGCGGUGAAAUGCGCAGAUAUCAGGAGGAACACCGGUGGUGUAGACGGCUUACUGGACCACGACUGACACUGAGGCACGAAAGCGUGGGUAGCAAACAGG
rnacentral:rRNA from 1 species